rnacentral:lncRNA from 1 species
GGGAAGGAUGGAAGUUUCCCCACGAAACUCUAACCCAGCCAUGUUAGUGAUUUCUUGUUCAUUCCACACUGACACUGCAUUUUCAUCUCAUCAGACAUCCAUCAUUCAUGCAAAUAUUUGUUGAGGGUCCCUUAUACGCAUUAUCAAGGGACUGGGGAUUACAGAGUGAAUAAAACCUGUAAAAUGCUUGCCCUCUUGGAGCUUACAUAGAAGAGUCUGACAAUAAACAAAUAAACAGAGUUCCCGUUGUGGCUCAGUGGUAACGAACCAGACUAGCAUCCAUGAGGAUGUGGGUUCAAUCCCUGCCGUGGCUCCGUGGGUUAAGGAUCCCAUGUUGCUGUGAGCUUCGGUGUAAGUCAUAGACACAGCUCGGAUCUGAUGCUGCCGUGGCUGUGGCUUAGGUCAGGAGCUGCAGCUCCAAUUAGAUUCCUAGCCUGGGAACUUCCGCAUGUGGUGGGUGUGGCCCAAAAAAGACAAAAAGAAAAAAAAAAGUAAACAAAUAAGCAAGCGACAUAGGUAAAUGUCAGAUCUUGCCAAGUGAUAUGGAGACAAAACAGAAGGAAGUUAGAAAGCAAGUGAGGAAGUUAAGUGUCAAAAUGAAGGAGCUUAGGGAAAGAGCCUUUUGAAUAUUGUGGGGAAAGGCAUUUGAGCCAAAGGGAAGAGAAUGUGCAGGGGCCCUGAGUUAGCAAUGCUGUUCAUUGUGUUUGAGGAACAGGAGGCGGGAGUAGCUGGAGGAGAAUGAGUGAGGGGGACAAAGGAACGAGAAGAGACAAGAGAGGCGGAGGGGUCCAGGGUACUGCUAUUCAAAGAUAGCUUAUGGAGCCCCCAGUCUCUUCAAGGGACUGUAAGCUAGAGGGUUUGUACUGGUUGGUUUGUUUGAUGGAAUGGGGUGUUUGAAAGUGUGAACUAAUUAAGGGAGAAGGGCUGUGUUUUGGGAAGUGUUUUUGGUUAGAGACAGUAGAGGGAAAUGGGAGAAAAAGUGCCACUUGUUCUGUUGAAAAUGCAGGAGAAUUCUGGUUGGUUUGAAAAUAUACAUACCGAUUGGAGAGGUCACCAGAAAAAUAGAUAUUGAAUAACGAUUUUGAUUUGGUUUUGGAAGAUAGCACCUAAUUCUUAGGGAAAAAACUUCUGAUUUAGGUUUUGUGCAAUUUGUUGACGUAUGUUAGUAGUUCUCAAUGGAACAUAAAUUAUGUGGUGGCAGGAAGUGGCCCAGAAGCUUAGGACAAGAUGGGGAAGUCUUACAGUAGGUAAUACCUAAGCAGAUAAAUGAGAGACGUCCGAAAUAGCAGCAAGGAUUUGCUGAGGGCCCUUUCCUGUGUUUUCAUCAAAUCGACGGGAGACACACUCGAAUUCUCUUUUCUAGGUUCGAGACAGAACUCACAGCACAUUGAUCGUUGAAUGAAUUAAUUCAACUUAAGGCAAACAUUGUUUUCCUUACCAGGAGAUAAGGUAGAUGUAUUCUAAGCAGGGAAUCUUAGCGAUAUUUAAACUCAUCUACAAAUCAAAUAUUUCCAUAAGUUGGUCACACUCAUCUGAUUUUUAAAUAUUUUCUGCCAGGAAAAGCAAAUAAAAUCCGUCCCUCCUCGUUUUGGCCUAUAAGAUUUUUCUGGGAAUUCCCGUCGUGGCUCAGUGGUUAAUGAAUCCGACUAAGAACCAUAAGGUUGCGGGUUCGAUCCCUGGCCUGGGAACCUCCGUAUGACUUGGGAACGGCCCUAGAAAAGGCAAAAAGACAAGGGGAGAAAAAAAAGAAAAGAAAAGAUUUUUCUGAAGCGCUUUUGGUGCUCUCUACUUGUUUCUUUCUAGACCCUCCCUCUGUGCUGUUUGUAGAUCUCCUUAUCAAACAUUAGUCCUGUGGAAAGCUUUGCUUGCACUGGAAGGACUUGACACUGCUGAGCUUUCCUGACGCCUAGAAGGACCCCAGCUACCUGGUUGGAUUGCAUUUUCUCACUAGUCUGGUGUUUCUGGUCUGGUUGCUUGGCCUUAGUCCUGCCCAGAAUUCCUGUCCAGGGACAGUCAAGGAGCCAGCUACCGUCACCAGCUUCCAGAUGGACAAUCUUUGGGCUGGUUCAUCUCAGACUCGGUGACAGAGAAUGGCACCAUUUACCCAGAAAGCACAGGUCCUGUAAUCCGAUUAUGGAAAACAAUACAAAUAUGAGAAGGUGUGAAAUCGACAAAAAGCAGGGUCCUAUGCAUUGUUGACUUAAUUUUGUUGUGUAGACAGUGAGUGUAGACCACCACUGGCAGGAGUAUGAUCAGAGUCAAACAAGAAUUGGACUGGGAAGGUGGAUAAAGCCUGCAGAAGUAGAAAGUCUCCAAAUAUGCUAAUAUGCUAGCCAGCGGAAUGUCAAAAUUUGACAUGAUCCGGUUUGUGUCAUAAUUAUCAGUUAUAUCCAAAUACAACAAAACUUGGUUUGUGGUAAGAACCAUUGCUUUUUCUUUCCAUUUUUCUUUGUGGUCCAUACCCAUGACAUAAGGAAGUUCUCAGGCCUGGGACUGAGUCUGAGCUGCAACGGUGACCUAUGCCACAGCUGUGGCAGUGCCAGAUCCUUUAGCCCACUGUGCCAGCGGGGAAUUGAAUUCACGCCUCUGCGGUGACCCGAGCCCCUGCAGUCAGAUUUUUAAUCCACUGCGCCACAGCGAAAACUCCAUAAGAACCAUCGCUUUAUUGGAAUUUUUACUUCGAUUUAGUGUGCUCAUCAGAACUAGCUGGUCACUUUAUUUGGGGGCCAUUUUUCACAAAGAACACAACUUGCUACAACUUGAGCUCUGACUUGAACCUGGGUUAAAUUUCUGGCUCCCCCACUGACUAACUGGGUGACUUUGAGCAGGUUACUUAACUUACCCAUGUCCCAUCUUCCUUCCCCAUGAAAUGAAAUAGUCUUAGCACAAUCCGCUUGGUACGCAAUAAACAUGCAAAGGUAGCUGUCACUAUGGCUACUUCGUUCUUUCUUUUGUGUUUUUUUAGGGCCACACCUGUGGCAUAUGGAAGUUCCCGGGCUAGGGGUUGAAUCGGAACUAUAGCUGCCAGCCUACACCACAGCCAUAGCAAUGCGGGGGUCUGAGCCGCAUCUUUGACCUACACCACAGCUCGGGGCAACACCGGAUCCUUAACCCCCCGAGCGAGGCCAGGGAUCAAACCUGAAUCUUCAUGUAUACUAGUUGGGUUCUUAAUGCACCGAGCCACAACGGGAACUCCUGCUAUGGCUAUUUCUGAGCAUUACUAUGUGGAAGACAAUUCGUGGAGAAGAAGACUUGGAGAUUUCUAGGUUUCAGAGAGACUCAGUCACGGGCAAGCUGCUGGGUUUCAUCCACACACUUGUGGUUCGAGUUUGUGGCUUAGAAAAAUUAUAAAUCAUCCUAUACCAUGAGCCAUUAGAGUCGUGCGCAAUGAGUUGAAAGCUCACUUGUCAAACUCUGCCAGGGGCAAGAGCCUACGGUGCUUUCUUCUGCCCCUUGGAAAGAACAGCUGGACACCAGGCUGCCUGCGCUUGUAAACAGUUAUUCAAUUACCCUGUAAACUUGUCUUCUCUGAGCAGAAUGAACUUGGUUCUUUUAACCUUUCCCGAGCCUGGUUUUGAUUUUCCAUCUCUUUAAUCAUCUCUGUGGCUCUUGUGUGGACCUUCUCCAAGUUCUCUGUGUCCUUCAAUUUGCUCUGGAGCACCUCAUUGCUCAAAGUUCUCAGCUAAUAGUCUUCACAGCAUAGAGUAGAACUAAACCAUUUCUAGAUGCCCCACUGUGUUUAUACACACAGGCUGGCCUUCUAGAAUUUGCUCUCAUGCCCUGGGAUUGCAGUAACACCCUACUCUUGCACAGCAAAGUGCUUCUCAAAGGACUCUCUCGCAUGGCAUUUCCUCUGAUCUACAUUACCAUCUAGUGAACGCGGUAUAAUUAUUUCCCCUUGGCAGAUGAAGAAACUGAGAUUCGGAAGGAUGGGGAGGCUGGCCUGAGGUCGCAGAGGCAGUACUGUUAUGGCUGGGACCAGAUCUUAGGAUGCUGCUCACUAAUUCCAUUGUUCUUUCCACCGCAUCCAGGCUCAUGCCUAUAAACAAUCUGUAAAGUGCAUGGUCAUCUAAAUAAUUUUCUGCUCUAUUUCCCAAGAGCUCUUUUUUUUUUCCACCACCGUGGGGUUGGUUUGAUUAACUUCUCCACCAAACCUUUCCAUAAACCUUCCACUUGACUCAUUGACCUUUCGGUACUUUGACGGCUGUGUGGUGGGACAGUUGGUGGUCCCAAGUAGAGAGCUCUGAGAGAGGCUUUUGGAAACACUGAGUUUCUCGUCAGUGUUCUUUCAAAUGUGCUGCUCCUGAGUUCUUUUUUUUUUGUCUUUUUGCUAUUUCUUUGGGCUGCUCCCACGGCAUAUAUGGAGGUUCCCAGACUAGGGGUCAAAUUGGAGCUGUAGCUGCCGGCCUAUGCCAGAGCCACAGCAACGCGGGAUCCGAGCAGCAUCUGCAACCUACACCACAGCUCACGGCAACGCCGGAUCGUUAACCCACUGAGCAAGGGCAGGGACCAAACCCGCAACCUCAUGGUUCCUAGUCGGAUUCGUUAACCACUGUGCCACGACGGGAACUCCUGCUCCUGAGUUCUAUUCCUAGUGAUCUAUGUUGCAAUAAGAAACUUUGACCUAUAGGGGUCUUUGUUUACUGUUACCUUUAAAAAGGAUUUUUUUUUUUUUUUUUUUUUUUUUUUUUUUUUUUUGGUAUGGCCUGGGGUGUAGAGAGAAGAGGAUUCCAAACCCUCUCCAGUCCACUUGUAAGUCCGCUUGUAAGUCCAGGGUGCCUGGAACGCUUCCUGGGCAAGGAUGGCUUCUCAUGUCCUUGACCAGAAUCAGUGGAAGAUGAACCUGUCAGGUUCAAGGCCAAAGGCCCUGUCUUAGGGCUUAUGGAGAUUUGUUUUCCCACCUUGGAGGAAUGAUAAAAUACCAGUGCUAACUAUGAACUAACUGCUACAGCGGUAAGCUCAUCCAUAAUUCUGAAUUCAAAAAUGCUUAUGAUUUAGAUUCCGUCACCGAGAAAGGAUUUAAAAAAAGCUUACUCCUCUGCAUGUUGGAUGUUUAAAAAAUAAACUCACUGACUGUUUGACUGAAUUAAUGAGCCAAGUAAACUGCUUUAGAUGUAUUCUCCCGCCCCUUUGCAACAAUAGUUAAAGAGGAUAUUUUUAAAUAAAGAUGCUGAGGUGGGGCAGCAGACAAUAAAAUCAGAGAGAGGGAGGGGUGACAAUGCACGUUUCCCAGCCGCGGCUGCCCGUGAGAACCAUCUGGACGGGGAUUGGCGGUGUAAUAACAUCAGUUGCCUCAGCCCCUGCCAUUCUGAUUGAAUUGGUGGAGCUGGACCCCUGCUUUGAUUUUAUUCAAAGCUCUUCGGAUGACGUAAAGCAGCCAUGGUCAACAUGCCAUAGUAAGGGAGGAGGAGGAGACGGGGGUCUAAGGGCCACGGCAGGCAAAUGCCUCCUGUUAGCUGGCUUGGGUUGGCCCAGCUUGGGUAGCUGGUCCUGAUGCUGGAAACCAUCAGUAGGCUGGGACUGGACCCAACAGGGGUGGGAGGUAGAGGGAUGCUUGCCAUCUUGAACUUGGAGAUGAUGACCUAAUUACACCUUCCAGUGCCGCGUGAUCCUGCUGGACCUCCCUGCUGCCCAGCACACCUGGGCUGAGAGAGCCCUUUGGACUCUAGUGCUGGUGGAUUUCUAGUAUCUUCUGGAAGAUUUUCCUAAAUGAACUUGAUCAUAAGGAUUUUCUGGGGCGGGAGUUCCCACUGUGGCUCAGUGGUAACGAACCUGACUCGUAUCCAUGAGGACAUGGGUUCGAUCCCUGGUUUUGCUCAGCUGGUUAAAGAUCUGGUGGUGUUCUGUGGUGUAGGCCAGCAGCUGUAGCUCCCAUUUGACCCCUAGCCUGGGAACUUCUAUAUGCCACAGGUGCAGCCUUAAAAAGCCAAAAACAAACAAACAAAAAAGAAUUUCCUCGGGUGUUGGUUAACUGUAAAUAUUCCUCGCCGCUUACCUUGGAGACUGAUUCACGACUUCUGGGAGGGACACGGGUCUGUGCACUAAAGAGUGUCCUGGGUUAGUCUUAGGGGCAGGCAGGCUUAGGACAUUUAGAAUUUGAGGAGCUCACUGAAUGUAUAGAUUUCCCAAGACUCCCCCAUGGCAACUUUAAUAGACCUAGAUUGAGGCCCAGGAAUCUUCAUUCUUAGCCACUGUCCUGGAGUCUUCAGGAGUGAUCUGAUGCAGUGAUCUUGCUCAUUUUUCAGAAAUGCUGCCCUGGGAGAGAACUGUUAUUUAGUGAGGGUCUACUCCGUGCUGGACCCUGUCUGAGCUGCUCUUUGAGCGCCCUCACUCCCCAUCUGAACCUUCUGUCCACUCAGGUGUGGCCAGGACCUGGGCUGCUCCUUCAGGCUCAGUUGGCAUUGGGGUCCCAGCCUACUAUGUGCUCAGCCUGCUCCAUCUUCCUAUCUUCCCACGUGGCCAAGGGACCCAUCACUCUCCAAACCUGACAACAUUAAGGAUCUCUGCUCUUCCAGACAGUUGAGGCAAGAAGAAAUAUAAGGAUCUGAUAGUUUGAAAAAUGAGAGCAUGUCGAUUCCCUAGACGUGACCAUUGUUCCUCUCUAACAUGAGAUUCAGAGGGUUAAUUUACUACGGGAACUCCAGUUAAAAGGGCGAUAGUAAAUGGGGGUUCCCGUUGGGGCUCAGCGGGUUAUGAACCUGACUAGUAUCCAUGAGGAUAUGGAUUUGAUCCUGGGCAUCACUCAGUGGGUUAAGGAUCCGGCAUUGCUGUGGCUGUGGUGUAAACCGGCAGCCAUAGCUCCCAUUCGACCCCUAGUCUGGCAACUUCCAUAUACCACAGGUGCGGCCCUAAAAAGCAAAAAAAAAAAAAA